UGAAGAUGGAGGUGAUGAUGAUGAUGGUGGUGGUGAUGAAGGCCCCAGUGCUGGAGAUGGAGGCAAUGAUGAUGAUGAUGGUGGUGGUGGAGGCGAUGAAGGCCCCGCUGAUGAUGAUGAUGGAGGAGGAGGAGGGGAUGAAGAUUGAAGGGAGGGGCUGAGGAGGAGGAGGAGGAGGGAGAGGCCGGAAACGACGAUGAAGGCCCUGAGGAUGAUGAUGGUGGAGGUGAUGAAGGCUUCGAUGAUGAUGAUGAAGAUGAUGAUGGUGGAGGCGAUGAAGGCCCCAAUGGUGAAGGCCCCGAGGAUGAGGAGGAAGAACCCAAAAAUGGUGAUGAAGGCUCCGAGGAUGAUGAUGAUGGUGGUGGAGGUGAUGAAGGCCCCAAUAGUGAUGAUGAUGAUGAUGAUGGUGGUGGAGGUGAUGAAGGCUCCGAUGAUGAUGGUGGUGGUGAUGAAGAUGGAGAUGAUGAUGAUGGUGGUGGUGGAGGCGAUGAAGGCCCCGGUGAUAAUGAUGAUGAUGAUGGAGGAGGAGGAGGGGAUGAAGAUUGAAGGGAGGGGCUGAGGAGGAGGAUGAGGAGGGAGAGGCCGGAAAUGGUGAUGAAGGCCCCGAGGAUGAUGAUGGUGGAGGCAAUGAAGAUGGAGGUGAAGAUGAUGAUGGUGGUGGAGGCGAUGAAGGCCCCGAGGAUGAGGAGGAAGAACCCAAAAAUGGCGAUGAAGGCCCCGAGGAUGAUGAUGGUGGUGGUGGUGAUGAAGGCCCCAAUGGUGAUGAUGAUGAUGAUGAUGGUGGAAGUGAUGAAGGCUCCGAUGAUGAUGGUGGAGGUGAUGAAGAUGAUGAUGGUGAUGGUGGAGGUGAUGAAGGCCCCAAUGGUGAAGGCCCCGAGGAUGAGGAGGAAGAACCCAAAAAUGGCGAUGAAGGCCCCGAGGAUGAUGAUGGUGGAGGUGAUGAAGAUGAUGAUGAUGAUGGCGGAAGUGAUGAAGGCUCCGAUGAUGAUGAUGAUGAUGAUGGUGGUGGAGAUGAUGAAGGCCCCCAAUGGUGAAGAUGGAGGUGAUAAUGAAGAUGAUG
ensembl:lncRNA